rnacentral:rRNA from 1 species
UACAGAGGUGGCGAGCGUUGUUCGGAUUUACUGGGCGUAAAGCGUGCGUAGGCUGUCCCGUGUGCCGGACGUGAAAUCCCGGGGCUCACCCCCGGAAGUGCGUACGGAACUGCGGGACUCGGGUCCGGGAUGGGAUGUCGGAAUGCAUGGUGUAGCGGUGAAAUGCGUUGAUAUCAUGCAGAACACCGGUGGCGAAGGCGGACAUCUGGAACGGCAUCGACGCUGAGGCACGAAAGCGUGGGGAGCAAACAGG